rnacentral:rRNA from 1 species
UACGGGGGGAGCAAGCGUUGUUCGGAUUUACUGGGCGUAAAGGGCGCGUAGGCGGUCGUGACAAGUCACUUGUGAAAUCUCCGGGCUUAACUCGGAACGGUCAAGUGAUACUGUCGGACUAGAGUGCAGAAGGGGCAACUGGAAUUCUCGGUGUAGCGGUGAAAUGCGUAGAUAUCGAGAGGAACACCUGCGGCGAAGGCGGGUUGCUGGGCUGACACUGACGCUGGGGCGCGAAAGCCAGGGGAGCGAACGGGA